ensembl:lncRNA
AGAAUAAGCCGAUCUGUUGGGCAGACACCAUCAGCAGAUGAUGAGCUUCUCUGAGUAUAGGAGCCUGGAGAGCAUUAAACAAAUGCCAGCUUCACAAACGAUCAUCUCAUCUGCCUUCCCUGUCCCACCAAGACUCUGCAGUGCUUCUGAUCCAUUGGCUCCUCCUGCCUGAAGCUUUGGUCAUCCUCUGCACCUCUCCCAGCUGCAGGCUGUGGACAGGGACACCCAAGUCAUGCGCCAUGUGCCAGAAGGAGACGUUCCCUGCAGGGCCUCAGUCCCACAAGGACCAUUGCUUUUCUGUUCUUUGCUUCUCUCCUUAAUCUUUGUUUCUACUUGUAAUAUCAACUCCGUUGAUUUUUUUUUUUUUCAAAAACUCUUCCAUCUCUUGAACAUAUGGAAAAAGAUAAUUUAAAAUUCAUCGUUGUGUAGGAUUAUUUCCAUGUGAGUCACUUUGCAUUUAUCCAUAAAUUAACCACCAACUUACUGCCCAGGUGCUACUGAUGUCCUCCUGAAACUCCUCUGUCAUCUUCAGAUUUCUCUGUUCUAAAUAGCUCUGCAUCACCAGUAACAUUUUUUCAUGCCAUUAAUCAAACUCUUUACAUCUCAUUACAUCUACUGUAACUUCAGGAUCUUGUUGCUGGGUGGUAAUGGUUUGUUCAGAAAACACUGUCAUAGAAGUAAAGCAAGAACUGUUCUUCUCAUGUUUAUUUAUUCACAGUGAAUUUAAUUUGUCAUUCUAGAAAAAUAUGUUGCUUUAAGAAACAGAAGACAUUUAUUUAAAACAGACUUCUUUCAUAAACAAACUUAAAAUUAAACUGCAAUAAAGAAGCUGAUGAUCUGUUUUAAGACAUGAAACUAUGACAAGUGCACUGAGAUAUUAGAUCUGAAAAUCUACGUCGACAUAAAUGAAACAUAAUAUUUAAGAAUGACAUUGCUUAUUUCCAAAGUCUGCAAAAGAAAGAGCACUAAGCUCAUAAAAGCCACCAGGCAAACAUCUAAACCUGUUUUUGGUCAAAGUAAUAAGACAGUUUUACCACUAUUUCAUCUCAGUGGGAAUGCAGUGGGGUUUUUGUUCCAGCGUGUUCAUCUCGUUCUGCUCAAUGAUGAGUUAAUUGAAAGCUGAAAAACUGUUUGGAAAUGGGAAAAGCGAGGUGUGAUUUUCUGCACUAACACAGAAGUAAAAGUGAAAUGCUUGGAGUCUG